UACGUAGGUGGCAAGCGUUGUCCGGAAUUAUUGGGCGUAAAGCGCGCGCAGGCGGCCUCUUAAGUCUGAAGUGAAAGCCCCGGCUCAACCGGGGAGGGCCAUUGGAAACUGGGAGGCUUGAGUAUAGGAGAGAAGAGUGGAAUUCCACGUGUAGCUGUGAAAUGCGUAGAGAUGUGGAGGAACACCAGGUGCGAAUGCGACUCUUUGGCCUAUAACUGACGCUUAGGCGCGAAAGCGUGGGGAGCGAACAGG
rnacentral:misc_RNA from 1 species